UUACCUUUAACUUCCGUCUCGCAUUUCUUCUCUUUUUGUUCCCGGUUCUUCUCCUCCAGCGUUAAACCUCGCUUAAACCCUAAUACCUCUCAGUCUCUCUCUUUCUCUCUCUCUCUCUCUCAUGUCAGCCAUUGCGAGCCGAGCGACAGCCACUGCUCUCCCGAACUUGCUCGCAUGGCGUGCUUUAGGUUUUCGCACAGUCUGCUCUGGCCGCCUCGGAUUCGCGCCGUCCAACCCGGAGCCACCGGUUUCGGCGGGCACCAAAGUCCUGGAUACAUUCAAAGAAGAAUUCGAGAUCGGAUCACGUGUUAUCACUCUCGAGACAGGAAAGAUCGCGAGGUUCGCCAACGGUUCUGUCGUCCUUGGCAUGGACGAGACUAAAGUUCUUUCUACCAUCACCUGUGCCAAGACCGACUCGCCUCGGGAUUUCUUGCCUCUUACAGUUGAUUAUCAAGAGAAACAAUUUGCUCAAGGUGUUAUUCCUAGUUCAUACAUGCGGAGAGAGGGUGCACCAAAGGAGCGGGAGCUUUUGUGUGGCCGGCUUAUCGAUCGACCCAUCCGACCACUCUUUCCUUCAGGAUUUUACCAUGAAGUUCAGGUUAUGGCGAGUGUUCUAUCAUCUGACGGGAAGCAAGAUCCAGAUGUAUUGGCAACUAAUGCAACAUCAGCUGCUCUUAUGUUAUCAGAUAUUCCAUGGGGAGGACCCAUUGGAGUCAUCAGAAUAGGAAGGAUUUGUGGGCAGUUUGUUGUCAAUCCAACCAUGGACGAGCUCAGCUCAAGCGACCUCAACUUGGUAUAUGCCUGUACAAGGGAUAAAACUAUGAUGAUAGAUGUUCAGGCUCGUGAGAUCUCUGAGAAAGAUCUGGCAGCUGCUCUUAGACUAGCUCAUCCAGAGGCUAGCAAAUAUCUUGAGCCCCAAAUAAGGCUUGCUGAAAAAGCUGGGAAACAAAAGAAGGAAUAUAAAUUGUCAAUGAUUUCUGAGAAAACUUUGGAAAGAGUUGGCGACUUGGCUGCAACUCGUAUUGAAUCAAUCUUUACCGAUCCCUCUUAUGGCAAGUUUGAACGUGGGGAAGCAUUAGAUAACAUUGCCCAAGAUGUGAAGAAAGUAUUUGAAGAAGAGGGUGAUGAAGAAAGCUUGAAAGUUCUACCGAAGGCUGUUGAUACAGUGAGGAAAAAGGUAGUUCGUGCAAGGAUGAUAUCGGAUGGAUUCAGAGUUGAUGGCAGACACCUUGAUGAAGUGAGGCCCAUUUACUGUGAAGCUGGUCAUUUGCCUGCAUUGCAUGGAUCAGCACUUUUUUCGCGUGGUGAUACGCAGGUGCUCUGCACUGUUACGCUUGGUGCCCCAGGAGAUGCACAAAGUUUGGAUUCCGUUGUUGGUCCGCCCAAAAAAAGAUUCAUGCUUCACUAUAGUUUUCCUCCAUUUUGUACAAAUGAGGUUGGCAAACGUGGUGGCCUUAAUAGGCGUGAAGUUGGUCAUGGAACGCUUGCUGAGAAAGCAUUGCUUGCUGUCUUGCCUCCUGAAGAGCUUUUUCCAUAUACUGUACGUAUAAAUUCAGAAGUGAUGGCCUCAGACGGAUCCACAUCAAUGGCAAGUGUUUGUGGAGGUAGUAUGGCAUUGAUGGACGCAGGAAUUCCUCUACUUCAUCAUGUUGCAGGUGUUUCUGUUGGUCUUAUCACUGAUGUUGAUCCAUCAAAUGGAGAAGUAAAAGACUACCGUAUAGUAACUGAUAUUUUGGGUCUGGAAGAUCAUUUGGGAGAUAUGGAUUUCAAGAUUGCUGGUACACGAAAUGGUGUGACUGCAAUUCAGUUGGAUAUAAAGCCAGCUGGGAUCCCUUUAGACAUAAUUUGCGAGUCCUUAGAACAUGCACGCAAAGGCCGUCUUCAGAUUCUUGACCACAUGGAGCGAGAGAUAAAUGUUCCACGACCCCAGGAUGAUGUUUAUUCUCCUCGACUAGCUACGUUGAGAUACACCAAUGAUGCUCUUCGCAGCUUGAUUGGGCCUAUGGGUUCUCUCAAGAGAAAGGUUGAAGAGGAGACAGGUGCAAGAUUGUCUGUAGGGGAUGGAACACUUACUAUCGUUGCCAAGAAUCAGACUGUGAUGGAAAAGGUUCAAGAAAAGAUUGACUUCAUAAUUGGACGUGAAAUUGAAGUCGGUGGUAUAUAUAAAGGUACAGUAACAACUAUUAAAGAAUACGGCGCCUUUGUGGAGUUCAAUGGUGGUCAGCAAGGGUUGCUACAUAUUUCCGAGUUGUCUCAUGAUUCUGUUUCCAAGGUUUCUGAUGUGGUAUCAAUUGGACAGCAGCUCUCUAUGAUGUGCAUUGGGACGGAUGUCCGUGGUAAUAUUAAGUUAUCCCUCAAAGCAGUGUUGCCUCGGCCAGCCUCAGACACCAAAAACCUGGUUAAGGAGUCGUCUCCACUCCCCAGAGAAAUGUCUGAUGCUGGGGAGACAGCCCCAAGCGCAACUAACGGCAAAGAGGGGCAGAAGUCUAGUCCAAAGAAUUCAACUAAGGGCAAGAGUCCAGCAACACCAGCUGUUGUCAUCCGAAGUGCUGCUGAGUGUGAUGAGGCAGAAAAAUCUGCCUGCUUGGAUACUAACACUGAAAACAGCACAAAACCCUCCAAGACAGUGAAGCAGAACCGUAAGGUCAAAUCCGCUUCUCCCAAAGAUGACACCCUCCUUUCGAUUCUGUCUGAUUCUAAGCUAUUGACGUCUGCAAAAGCGAAGAUAACAUCCCAGAAAGACAAACAGUCUGAGAGUGAGGCUGAAGACCGUAGUACUUCCAUGAAUGCUCAGAAGUUGAAAAUAGGAACAGAGGUGACAGCCAAGGUCAGUCAGGUUCGAACCCGCGGAUUAGUUCUUGAUUUAGGUGGUGGAAUCCGAGGGAUGUACAAAUUCGAGGACGAAGAAGAGACAGAUUUUGAGUUGGGUGACACAAUGCGGGUGAAAUGUACGAGUUUUACUGGCAAAGGAAUACCCGUCAUGUCUUUGGUCGAAGAGGAUUAGGGUGAGUUUUCUUUCCCCUGUGACUAAUGAAAUAUGAGGGGCUUUUUUUAUAUAUAUAUUUCUGGAAAGCAUUGGGGGAAUUGGUCUGGUCUAGUUACCGAGAUAAAAGCGUGAGGGAGAGAGCGUUCAUCCGUUGGGAGUUUUGGAGGAAUAAGUUUUAUCUUUCUACUUGAGGAGGUUUUGUUUGCCGGAGAAUACUGUAACCUGCGGAAUGUGUUCCAAGAUUAAGGGGCACUCCUCGUUUUCGCUCUAAGGAAGUUGUGUUAGAGUGUGACGUGAGCGGUGGUGGUGAUAUGAAUGAAUGGCUUGCUCGAAGGAAAGUGAUGGAAUGCUUGACGUUUGUCGAUUCUAGAGGCGAACUACAUGGCGUUUUGACACAACGGGCUGGCCCAGCCAAUAUAAAGAUUAGGCCGCCAUUAGUGUUUGGCCCAUCUAAAAAUAAGAAUCGGCCCAUGAUGGUUAAAACAGGCCUUCACCGGACCCACUCCGUUGCGAUUGGGUUAGGUAGGACAUCAACUAACCAGUGGUUGACAAAUCAAACAUUUCACCCUUAUUUCUGUUGGCAAGUAUAUUAUUAAGUCGUUCCCCUAAUUAGUUAGUAUCUGACGCACACGUUGCUUUGCUUUGGGAACUAAAAGAAAAAUUAGCAAUUAU